rnacentral:rRNA from 1 species
AAGUCGUAACAAGGUUUCCGUAGGUGAACCUGCGGAAGGAUCAUUAAUGAAUUUAGAUUGAACCAUAGGCGAAAGCCAGUGGUUCUUCUUUCAUAUCCAUAACACCUGUGCACUGUUGGAUGCUUGCAUCCACUUUUAAACUAAAACAUUAUUGUAACAAAUGUAGUCUUAUUAUAACAUAAUAAAACUUUCAACAACGGAUCUCUUGGCUCUCGCAUCGAUGAAGAACGCAGCGAAAUGCGAUAAGUAAUGUGAAUUGCAGAAUUCAGUGAAUCAUCGAAUCUUUGAACGCACCUUGCGCUCCUUGGUAUUCCGAGGAGCAUGCCUGUUUGAGUGUCAUGAAACCCUCAAACCCAAGUUUUGGAUUUCGAUCCAUGCUUGAGUUUGGAUUUGGAUGUUUGCCGGUGAUGAAUCGACUCAUCUUAAAAGUAUUAGCUUGGAUCUGUCUAUAUGACUGGUUUGACUUGGCAUAAUGAGUAUUUUGCUGAGGACAUCCUCGGAUGGCCAGGACCUAGACUACUGUCUGCUAACUAAACCAUCACUUUAAGUGCAUCUUUGGAUGUUACUCAUUGUGUAACUUUGACAUCUGGCCUCAAAUCAAGUAGGACUACCCGCUGAACUUAA